rnacentral:rRNA from 1 species
UGGGGAAUUUUGGACAAUGGGCGAAAGCCUGAUCCAGCAAUGCCGCGUGUGUGAAGAAGGCCUUCGGGUUGUAAAGCACUUUUGUCCGGAAAGAAAUCCUUGGCUCUAAUACAGUCGGGGGAUGACGGUACCGGAAGAAUAAGCACCGGCUAACUACGUGCCAGCAGCUGCGGUAAUACGUAGGGUGCAAGCGUUAAUCGGAAUUACUGGGCGUAAAGCGUGCGCAGGCGGUUUGCUAAGACCGAUGUGAAAUCCCCGGGCUCAACCUGGGAACUGCAUUGGUGACUGGCAGGCUAGAGUAUGGCAGAGGGGGGUAGAAUUCCACGUGUAGCAGUGAAAUGCGUAGAGAUGUGGAGGAAUACCGAUGGCGAAGGCAGCCCCCUGGGCCAAAUACUGACGCUCAUGCACGAAAGCGUGGGGAGCAAACAGGAUUAGAUACCCUGGUAGUCCACGCCCUAAACGAUGUCAACUAGUUGUUGGGGAUUCAUUUCCUUAGUAACGUAGCUAACGCGUGAAGUUGACCGCCUGGGGAGUACGGUCGCAAGAUUAAAACUCAAAGGAAUUGACGGGGUCAUAGCUGUUUCCU